ensembl:lncRNA
UAAAAUGAAAAUCAUGUGUUUGUUACUGGAAGGGAGCAAGGCAGUGGUAUUUUAGUAUCUGGCCCUCUUCUAUUACUGCACCUAGAACAGCUCAGACACAGAAAUAGAUUUAAACUGGAUUUAAACUGCACCCAGAGCAGCUCCAGAUACAGGAAUGGAUUGAAACUGCACCCAGAGCAGCUCAGACACAGGAAUGGAUUAAAACUGGAUUUAAACUGCACCCAGAGCAGCUCAGAUACAGGAAUGGAUUCACCUGCUCCAUUUAAACUGGAAUUAAACUAGACUUAAACUGGUUUGAAACUGGGUUUAAACUGCACCCAGAGCAGCCCAGACACAGAAAUGGAUUGAAACUGGGUUUAAACUGGAUUUAAACUGGUGCAAGGACAGAGGGCAGCAGAGCAGCCCCAAGCUCUGACUCAGAGUUAUCCCACGUGGCAGAAAGCCUGGAGUGAAUCCAUCACAAUUUUAGGGAAGAAAUGUGAAGCAAAAACUGCAUCACCUUCUUUGGGGGCAGGAAUGAAAAUGCCAAAAUGGCUCAGCUUGGAAAAGGCUGCAGGGAGAGCUCAGAGAAAGGGAAAGAAAAUCCCAGGGAAAUGGAGGAACAGGACACAGAGGGAAAGGCUGGAUGGGAUUUUGGGAUGGAAUUCCUGGCUGAGAGGGAUUUGGGACAGGGAAUGGGGCAGGGCUGGAUGGGAUUUUGGGAUGGAAUUCCUGGCUGGGAGGGAUUGGGGACAGGGGAUGGGAUUUUAGGAUGGAAUUCCUGGCUGAGAGGGAUUUGGGACAGGGAAUGGGGCAGGGCUGGAUGGGAUUUUGGGAUGGAAUUCUGGCUGGAGAGGGAUUUGGGACAAGGGAUGGGGCAGGGCUGGAUGGGAUUUUGGGAUUUUGGGAUGGAAUUCCUGGCUGGAGAGGGAUUUGGGACAGGAGACAGAAGGCAGGGAUGGAAUUCCUGGCUGAGAGGGAUUUGGGACAGGGAAUGGGGCAGGGCUGGAUGGGAUUUUGGGAUGGAAUUCUGGCUGGAGAGGGAUUUGGGACAAGGGAUGGGGCAGGGCUGGAUGGGAUUUUGGGAUGGAAUUCCUGGCUGGGAGGGAUUUGGGCUCCCACUGCUCACAAACUCCCACUUCCCACUCCCUUCAUCUCCCCAGCUAUGGACAUCCAACACAAACAAAACAACUUUAAUUUAAGAAUCAUCCAGUUUCUAAUUAAACAGCCAUAGGCAGCUGGCUGGAUACAUUUUCAUCAGCUUCAAUAAGGUAUUGAUUGGAUACUGAAGCUUAAAAAUUAAAAGUAAAAAGAUGACCAGGGAAUUGUCCCAUCUCAGCCCAGCAGCAGAGCCCUGUGUAAAUAACUCCUCUUUUAACCAUCAGCUAAAUGAACACUUCAAUACUGCACUACAAAGUCUUCUGCAAAAUUACUUUAACUAACAAGCAGAAAUUUAUCAGCUUCAGCCAAAAUCAAUGCUGAAAUCAAUUUGAACACUGGUUGUGUCUAAAGGGGCUCAUUGGCAAUUUAGGGAAAUUACACCAUGUAAAUGCCUGUGCUUUAAUUGAACAGUUUCAUCAACUAGGCUGUGAUUGCUGUCCAUUCAUUUAUUUACUUUCACUGCAGCUCCCAUUCUGCAGAGGAAUGGCUUUUGUCAGACUCAAAGGAGCUACUUUAUCUUCAUUUUAUGCACUUUUGUGCAUAACAGAUUUUUUAUGGGGCGGCCAAGCCAGGGUCAGAGAGUGACCAGUCCUGGUUAAACCAGACUGGAAUUAGAUGAAACCCAGUGGGGCACCUCAAACUCAGCCAGGUAUUGCUGCUCCAACUUUAGGGGAGGCUGCAAAUAAAACCAAACAGGAGAAGCAGAAAAUCACCCCCAGAAACAGAAAAUGAAUGCACAGGAAUGGAAAGAAAGGGAAAUGAAUGCUCAGGAAUGGAAAGAAAGAAAUGAAUGCACAGGAAAGGAAAUAAAGAGAAAUGAAUGUACAGGAAAGGAAAGAAAGGAAAAUGAAUGCUAUGAAUGUACAGGAAAGGAAAGAAAGGGAAAUGAAUGUACAGGAAUGGAAAGAAAGGGAAAUGAAUGUACAGGAAAGGAAAGAAAGGGAGAUGAAUGUACAGGAAAGGAAAGGACAGGAAAGGAAAGAAAGGGAGAUGAAUGAACAGGAAAGGAAAGAAAGAAAUGAAUGCACAGGAAAGGAAAGAAAGGGAGAUGAAUGCACAGGAAAGGAAAUAAAGAAAUGAAUGCACAGGAAAGGAAAGAAAGAAAUGAAUGCACAGGAAAGGAAAUAAAGGGAAAUGAAUGUACAGGAAAUAAAGAGAAAUGAAUGUACAGGAAAGGAAAGAAAGGGAAAUGAAUGUACAGGAAUGGAAAGAAAGGGAAAUGAAUGUACAGGAAAGGAAAGAAAGGGAGAUGAAUGAACAGGAAAGGAAAGAAAGAAAUGAAUGCACAGGAAAGGAAAUAAAGGGAAAUGAAUGUACAGGAAAUAAAGAGAAAUGAAUGUACAGGAAAGGAAAGAAAGGGAAAUGAAUGUACAGGAAUGGAAAGAAAGGGAAAUGAAUGUACAGGAAAGGAAAGAAAGGGAGAUGAAUGAACAGGAAAGGAAAGAAAGAAAUGAAUGCACAGGAAAGGAAAUAAAGGGAAAUGAAUGUACAGGAAAUAAAGAGAAAUGAAUGUACAGGAAAGGAAAGAAAGGGAAAUGAAUGUACAGGAAUGGAAAGAAAGGGAAAUGAAUGUACAGGAAAGGAAAGAAAGGGAGAUGAAUGAACAGGAAAGGAAAGAAAGAAAUGAAUGCACAGGAAAGGAAAGAAAGGGAAAUGCCUCCACAGGAAAGGAAAGAAAGAAAUGAAUGCACAGGAAAGGAAAGAAAGGGAGAUGAAUGCACUGGAAAGGAAAUAAAGAAAUGAAUGCACAGGAAAGGAAAGGAAAGGGAAAUGCCUCCACAGAAAUUAAGGGAGAUGCAAUUUUAAGGCUUCCAAGGGUCAAAGAUGUACUUUAAUGGCAAAUAAGUCACUGAGCCUGCCUGGGAUCCUUCCCUGAGCACCAGGCUGGGAAUCUGCAGCUCCAUUCCUGCCUCUGUCACUGCUGGGAAAGUGAUUCUGUCUCCAUUUCCCCUCUGCCAGGAGGCCAAAAUAAUCUCUGAAUUAAAGAAUUGUAGAAAAAAAACUGCAAAUGAUGGUUCAGGGGUUGGAGAAGGGAAGGACCAGAUAUCAAGGAGUAUUACUAAGUUAUUUUGUCAAAUUCUAAAAACAUUUUUCUGUAUUUGCAGUAUGUGAAAAAAAAACCUUUAAAGCUUUUUCAGCAGCAAUUUUAUAUAACAUUUUAUAUUUAGAGCUGAAGGAAAUGGAUGAGCUUAAUGAUUCUCCUUGAUAUUCCUGAGCCUAAAGGGGCUCCAGGACAGCUGGGGAGGGAUUUGGGAUAAGGGACAGGACACAGGGAAUGGAUUCCACUGCCAGAGGGAGGGAGGGAUGAAGGGAUGGAGGGAGGCCCCCCCCCCCCCCCCCUGGAUGGAUGGAUGGAUGGAUGGAUGGAUGGAUGGAUGGAUGGAUGGAUGGAUGGAUGGAUGGAUGGAUGGAUGGAUGGAUGGAUGGAUGGAUGGAUGGAUGGAUGGAUGGAUGGAUGGAUGGAUG